rnacentral:rRNA from 1 species
CCUACGGGCGGCAGCAGUGGGGAAUAUUGGGCAAUGGAGGCAACUCUGACCCAGCAACGCCGCGUGAAGGAAGAAGGCCUUCGGGUUGUAAACUUAUGUUGUCAAGGACGAAAAGAGUGACGGUACUUUAGAAGAAAGCCCCGGCUAACUAGGUGCCAGCAGCCGCGGUAAGACAUAGGUGGCAAGCGUUGUUCGGAAUUACUGGGCGUAAAGGGCGCGUAGGCGGGACAGUAAGUUAGAAGUGAAAGCCAUGGGCUCAACCCAAGACAUGCACUUAAUACUGGUGUUCUAGAGUGCGGGAGAGGCAAGUGGAAUUCCUAGUGUAGCGGUAGAAUGCGUAGAGAUUAGGAGGAACAUCAGAGGCGAAGGCGGUUUACUGGACAACAACUGACGCUGAGGCUCGAAAGCGUGGGGAGCAAACAGGAUUAGAUACCCCAGUAGUC